AUUGAACGCUGGCGGCAUGCCUUACACAUGCAAGUCGAACGGCAGCACGGGUGCUUGCACCUGGUGGCGAGUGGCGAACGGGUGAGUAAUACAUCGGAACAUGUCCUGUAGUGGGGGAUAGCCCGGCGAAAGCCGGAUUAAUACCGCAUACGAUCUACGGAUGAAAGCGGGGGCCCUUCGGGCCUCGCGCUAUAGGGUUGGCCGAUGGCUGAUUAGCUAGUUGGUGGGGUAAAGGCCUACCAAGACGACGAUCAGUAGCUGGUCUGAGAGGACGACCAGCCACACUGGGACUGAGACACGGCCCAGACUCCUACGGGAGGCAGCAGUGGGGAAUUUUGGACAAUGGGCGAAAGCCUGAUCCAGCAAUGCCGCGUGUGUGAAGAAGGCCUUCGGGUUGUAAAGCACUUUUGUCCGGAAAGAAAUCCUUGGCCCUAAUACGGUCGGGGGAUGACGGUACCGGAAGAAUAAGCACCGGCUAACUACGUG
rnacentral:rRNA from 1 species